AUGAGGAUUUCUUCUAUGCUCUUGGUUCAGAGUUUUGGGCAUCUGUUUGCCAUCACAUCUGCCAUUGGCUCUGCUGUUACUGCCGCUGCUGCUACAAUGGGUUUGCCUUGGGCUGAGAAAGUAAAGAAUGGAGAAAAAAAAAACAGAUUAAAAAAACAAGCAACAAACUACAAAACUCAAGGCAAUUUUGACACUCCCUUUAGUGGCUCAACUUCCUGCUCCUUCAACCUGAAAGACUUCUCUUUUCUAAGAGCUCUUUCCAUCUGCACCCGGGAGUUGGUUGUACUCCAGGAACCAGUGGUGAUACUGGCUGCUGAUAUCCAGGAAGUCUUGAAGGCCCUGAGGCCAGUAAGUGGCAGGUUCCGGUAAGUAAGCCUGGGGGCCAUUAGGGUUUUGUCACUUACGCAGUUAGAGUAGAUCCAGGCUGGGCACAGUGGCUCACACCUGCAAUCUCAGCCCUUUGGGAGGCCAAGGCAGGCAAUCCCAGCAACUUGGGAGGCUGAGGUUGCAGUGAGCUGAGAUCGUGCCACUGCACUCCAGCCUGGGUGACACAGGGAGGCUCUGUCUCAAAAAAAUUAAAUUAAAAUAAAAAGAAUAGAUCUAGCUGGAGCCCCUGAUUCAAAUAGUUGAAUUUAGAAACCUUAGAGGAAAAAGAGAUAUUGGGGUUCUCACCCUUCUGAUUCUCUUCUCAUCUCCAUUUGCCAAUCCCAAGUUUCUAGCAGAUAUGCCAUGAGGUAAAUACACUCCAGCUUAUUGUUCAAUCUUUAUUGUGGGAUAGAGCAGCUCUGCACAAUUUUUAUCUUGUUUUUAUGCUGGAGGAGUUAAAGAAAAUUAAAAGAAAGAGGAGGUUAAUAGGUAUCAAAUCUAUCUUAGGAACUAUUACACCCAGUUUCUCAUUUUUCACACCAAACACAAGAGGGAAUUAGUUAUUUUUCCAGGAUUUAUGUGGUCAGUAAGGGGAAAAGAUCAUAGUCUUCCCACAAACACUUUUAAAAUUUAUUUUUAAUUUCCAUAGGUUAUUGGGGAAGGAGGUGGUGUUUGGUUACAUGAGUAAGUUCUUUAGUGGUGAUUUGUGAGAUUUUGGUGCACUCAUCACCUGAGCAGUAUACACUGAACCCUAUCUUCUUUCCAUAAAUUCUCAAGUCAUCUUUUCCCCAUGAUCCUCAAGCCACAAACUGGGCCUGAGUAGUAAUGUCACCGCCUCUUCUCCCUUAUCUCUACUCUGUUGAUGCUGAGACUCUUAAAAGCAAAAGUAUUUCCCAAAUAGGAGGCAGCACCGAUUUGAGAAGAGAACAGGGAUGGGGGAUGUGUAGGGGGAGGAGUUAUCAGAACAGAGAAACAAUUACUGGACCAUAUUGUGAGAUGGGCUGUUGGACAGUCUGCCUAUACAAUCUUCUAUCUGUAGGGUGAAAGAGAAAAAUACUGAAAGUCUGGUAAUAUGAGUUUUAUUUUUAGUUUUUAUAUUACAAUUUCCUCCUCUUGUAAAUUAAAGUGAUGGGACUAGGUCAGUAACUCUCCUAUGGGUAGGUGGGUAGAGGCAUCACAUAUGAAAAUAAUAAAGAAUUUGGGUAAGAUAGUACACUUUUCUAUUCCUGUUAAAUCCCCCCAUAAAAUAGAUAUAGCAAAGACUAAUAAAACUAAAAUCCAACAGAAGUAAUAUGCAAUCUAUUUCCAUGAACCCCAAAAUAUGAGCAGGGAAUACAUAUCACAAAAAGAACUGUGUUGUAGUAAAGCUUAUGUGGGAGAAUGUGAAGGGAACACAAAAGAACUUCCAAAGGCGCUGAGAGAACCAGAACCCCCCAAAUUGCCAAUAACCACUUGCUGGAAAGCUUGACUGGUCAUUUGUGGACAGUAAUUGAAAUAAGACAAUGUUUUGCAGACUCAAAUUUAUAGAUCAAUACGAGGAGCUCGUGAAAGUUCAGAUAAUACCAGAGUGGUCUGGAACCUGUAAACCAUUGAAACUAACUAACCAAAUAUUCAUGUACGGAAGAGCUGAGAAGGAGGACAGACUACUGAGAAUAGAAUCCAAAUUAAGCAGAACAGGUAUAAUGGGAGCAAAGAAAUGUGAAAACCUAAGAGAAAUAGAAGAAGGGAAGAGGAAACUCAGCACAUCAUAAAAAAUGUGAAGCAGCUUCCCCACUAAAACUUCCGAUUUUCCAAAGACAAAAGAAGAGGGUGCUCUGGAUCUUGGAAACUAGACAGACUCCCC
rnacentral:lncRNA from 1 species